rnacentral:rRNA from 1 species
AGCAGCCGCGGUAAUUCCAGCUCCAAUAGCGUAUAUUAAAGUUGUUGCAGUUAAAAAGCUCGUAGUUGAACCUUGGGCCGGGCUGAUCUGUCCUCCUAAUCGAGCGCACGGAUUCGGUCGGGCCUUUCCUUCUGGGGAGCCCGAUGCCCUUCACUGGGCGUCGUGGGGAACCAGGACUUUUACCUUGAAAAAAUUAGAGUGUUCAAAGCAGGCCUUUGCUCGAAUACAUUAGCAUGGAAUAAUAGAAUAGGACAGAGGUUCUAUUUUGUUGGUUUCUAGGACCGCUGUAAUGAUUAAUAGGGACAGUCGGGGGCAUCAGUAUUCAAUUGUCAGAGGUGAAAUUCUUGGAUUUAUUGAAGACUAACUUCUGCGAAAGCAUUUGCCAAGGAUGUUUUCAUUAAUCAAGAACGAAAGUUAGGGGAUCGAAGACGAUCAGAUACCGUCGUAGUCUUAACCAUAAACUAUGCCGACUAGGGAUCGGAUGAUGUUAAUUUUUUAAUGACUCA